UACGUAGGGUGCGAGCGUUAAUCGGAAUUACUGGGCGUAAAGCGUGCGUAGGCGGUUCGUUAAGUCAGCUGUGAAAGCCCCGGGCUCAACCUGGGAACUGCGGUUGAAACUGGCGAACUAGAAUCUGGCAGAGGGGGGUGGAAUUCCACGUGUAGCAGUGAAAUGCGUAGAGAUGUGGAGGAACACCAGUGGCGAAGGCGACUCUUUGGCCUGUAACUGACGCUGAGGCGCGAAAGCGUGGGGAGCAAACAGG
rnacentral:rRNA from 1 species